GACUUUUGGUAUAGCAUUGCAAAUGUAAAUGAGCGAAAUACCUAAUAAAAAAUGGAAAAAAAAAAAAAAAAAAAAAAAAAAAAAAAAAAAAAAAGAAAAGCGGUUGAGUUGAAUUUAAGGCCCACUAUAGAUGGUUGGGAUCUUCACUUGGGAUCUAUAACAUCUACGAAGACCUCUCAGUUUUAAAGUAAAGUCAUAUUCCACAGGGUCAGACUGGAAAGAUCCUUAAGUGGGCUAUGGGAAGACUGUUAGACCCAUGAUAAUCUUGCAGUGUUGCUUUUAACUAUUCUCUAAAGAUUUCCAGACUAAUUUCAAUUUUUGUUUUUCAAAUGGCUAAUAGAGAGACUUCACAUUAUUGGUGCGGACAGGCCAAAUGAUGCAUGCAGUCAGGCAUUCUGGGAGAAUCAGGCUUCAAAUCAAUGAAAUUCUUUCAGCGUGUUACAGCUUUGCCAGCAUGAAAUGCGCCCUGCUCUUGAGAGAAAGCACUGUGAACCAAAGCAGGUUUCCAAGCAUCGCUUGAGCCAUUUGUCUGAAACAUGGCCUUAAAUACUCUGCAUAGAAUGUGAGAACAGAGAAUCCUGACUAAUACUCAAUAAUGUGCCAAUUAACAAAAUGAAAAUUCUCAAAUCCGUUCUAUAUACAUUAAAUUAAUGUCUCCAGUGGUGUAUUCCAUAAGCCUUUCAGCCCUGCAAAAAAUCACUAUGAAAGUUUGCCCCUGUUAAUGGGUUUCCACAGACCGAUGCAAGUUCGAUGUAUUCCCUUAGAGGAAAGAAAUAAUUUGUCUAGAACUCCCUAGUUUAUUUCACCAUACAAUACUACAUCUUGAUGUUUAAUUCUGAUGCCAAGCCUUAAAAGAGUCAGUAGGUGUGAAGCACUUAGAGGACUGUCUGGCACGUGGGCAGUGUUGGAUGCUUUGGCUUCUGGAACCACUACUGCUGUUCCUGUCACUACUUGCAUGUGUCCCACACUGUUGCCCAGUGUGAAAUUUUGUGUUAGCUUUAUUUGGCAAAUUUUAAUUUACUGGUGAAGCCAUUCUGCUUUCCCUUGGCAUAUUGCUUCUGCUUCCUGGGCUUCAGCUCAGCUCUCCCAUCGUGUGCACUAUGGGAUAACUUAAUUGUAACAUUCUCCUGAUAUUGCCAUACUUCCUCUCUUCACCCAUCUGUGAUGCCCACAGAGUAUUCAGUUCUUAGACAACUGGUCAACCAGAGCUGUACAUCAUUAUAACCAUGCCUUGCUGGGGCCCUCUUUUUAUUUACACCCUUUAAGAGCUUCAUUGGCUUCUCUAAGGCAUUUUUGUUCUGAGCAUGAUGGCUCUAGACAUUAAUAAUUAUGUCUGGGAUUCUAAACUUAAGUUCUACAAAUUUAGAUAACCUCAUACAAAGCUAUCUUUUUAAUAUUCCAUGGCUCAAAAAGCAGUACUUACUUACGUUCUUAGCACUUCUUAUCUUAGCAACGUCCAGUCCUAGAAGUCUUAUUUCUAAAUUGAAAAUUGACCCCCAUGCAGUUAAUCCAUGUAGUCAUAUCGUAUUGAACGUAGAGCAAUCAUGUGACAGCCCUGAUUCAAGGAUAUAUUUGUCUAGUCAUUCUUGCCGGGAAACUGUGCACAUUUAUCUGAAUUGAGAAAAUUUUCAUUUUUCUUUCUAAAAAUUCCAUCAUGGUUCUAGCUGUGCAAGAAAAUGCUGAGAGCUUUUCUGCCCAGAUACAGUCCAGUGAUAUACUGCUUCUGCUGCUGAGUUCUAAGUUUACACAUGACAAGCAUUAACUCUGCAUCUGUCUUCUGUCCUAUCAGCAUCCAGACGUUGAGGACACUGUCAGCCAGGCUUUCCUUUUGUUCCUUUUUUAUUUUGAUCAUUCCCUCCUCCACCAUCACUCCCAAGCUCCUGCAUUUACUCCCCCCCCCCCCCGCCUCCUAACCUCCUGCAUUCAGCAUUUAUCUAUUUACAGCUAAUUCAGUAGUACACACAUCUAUAAGGUAUUACAGAAUACACCCUAAUGCCUUAACAAUAAGCAUGAAUGGGGGAGAAUUCUCCCAAGAUCUAGGCACCUCAAACUUGCCUGCCUCAUCAGCUCUACAGGAAGCUUUUAAAAUAAAUAUCUUUUAUUACAGUCUUGGCAGGUGGCCAUCAGUCUUUGAACAUUGAGGUGACUUCAUUUCUAACUACCACACAAAAACAUUCACUUUAUGUCUUGAACAAAACUAAGUGGUUUUACUUACAUUAGCUAUAAAUAUCACUCAGUUUAGCUACUAUAGCUAUUUUUUUCAAUUAACUAUGGCAAGAACACAUCGUUCACACAUACACACACAUUUCAUUGUACUAUAAUAACCCCAGAAUAUGUUAUAAAGUAAUUAAUUUAUGUAUUUACAAUAACUAUCGCAACCUUUUCAUAAGUAUGCUUGUUUUAUUUUCCUUACUGUACAUCUUUCUCCUCCCCCACUUUAAAUACUUAUUCUAACUCUUACCAUAUGAGUGACUAUCAGGUAUUUAAUCAUCCUAGCUGCUGCUCCUUGAAUACAUUCUGAUUUGUCGGGACGUUGCACAAUACAUUUUGACAUCACUUGACUUCUUUACUCACUUUCCCCAGUGCAAAAACCGUUCUUCCCUGAAAAUAGCAGCAUGUUUUUCUAAUCUCAGCACUUAGUAAGCCAAGGAUGGAGGAUCUCGACCCCCAAGUUUGAGGUCAAACUUGUCUAUAUUAUCAAUUUCACGCUACCAAGGACUUCAUAGUAGGUCUAUUUGUGAACAAAC
rnacentral:lncRNA from 1 species